CUUCCGGUCAACGAGGUAGAUGUACCUCGCUGAUCGGAAGGGUUUCCUUCCGAUCAACGAGGUACAUCUACCUCAUCGACCGGAAG
rnacentral:miRNA from 1 species